rnacentral:rRNA from 1 species
GAGUUUGAUCCUGGUUCAGAUUGAACGCUGGCGGCAGGCCUAACACAUGCAAGUCGAGCGGUAGCACAGAGAGCUUGCUCUCGGGUGACGAGCGGCGGACGGGUGAGUAAUGUCUGGGAAACUGCCUGAUGGAGGGGGAUAACUACUGGAAACGGUAGCUAAUACCGCAUAACGUCGCAAGACCAAAGUGGGGGACCUUCGGGCCUCAUGCCAUCAGAUGUGCCCAGAUGGGAUUAGCUAGUAGGUGGGGUAAUGGCUCACCUAGGCGACGAUCCCUAGCUGGUCUGAGAGGAUGACCAGCCACACUGGAACUGAGACACGGUCCAGACUCCUACGGGAGGCAGCAGUGGGGAAUAUUGCACAAUGGGCGCAAGCCUGAUGCAGCCAUGCCGCGUGUAUGAAGAAGGCCUUCGGGUUGUAAAGUACUUUCAGCGAGGAGGAAGGCAUUAAGGUUAAUAACCUUAGUGAUUGACGUUACUCGCAGAAGAAGCACCGGCUAACUCCGUGCCAGCAGCCGCGGUAAUAC